UUACUGACCUUGCCGUGCGGGGCUGCUCCUCGUGCCACUCCUUCCUAUGCUCAAUAAAUCCUCGAUUGAUCUGGCCGAAGCGACAGAUCUAUCGUGCUCAUGGUUUGACAGCUUCUGGCCAAAGCGACAGAAGUGUCGGGAAGAGUUUAUGAUACUCCCCCCCGAGUUUGACGACUUCUGGCCGAAGCGACAGAAGUGUCGGGAAGAGCUUGGGAUACUCCCCCCUUGAGAUCAUUAAGGCCGAA
rnacentral:lncRNA from 1 species